GUUGAGCGGAGAUAUAUGGAGCUUGCUUUAUAUAACUUAGCAGCGAACGGGUGAGUAACACGUAGAUAAUCUAUCCUAUACUGGGGGAUAGCCCGAUGAAAGUUGGAUUAAUACCGCAUAUAGCUAUAUAGUUGCAUGAUUAUGUAGUGAAAGAUUUAUUGGUAUAGGAGGAGUCUGCGGCACAUUAGCUAGUAGGUGAGGUAAAGGCUUACCUAGGCGACGAUGUGUAGCCGGUCUGAGAGGAUGAACGGCCACAAUGGAACUGAGACACGGUCCAUACUCCUACGGGAGGCAGCAGUGGGGAAUAUUGCACAAUGGGGGAAACCCUGAUGCAGCAACGCCGCGUGAGUGAAGAAGGUUUUCGGAUUGUAAAGCUCUGUUAGCAGGGAAGAGGAAGGACGGUACCUGCAGAGGAAGCCACGGCUAACUACGUGCCAGCAGCCGCGGUAAUACGUAGGUGGCAAGCGUUGUUCGGAAUAACUGGGCGUAAAGGAUGCGUAGGCGGUUAAACAAGUUAUAUGUUAAAUAUAUAGGCUUAACCUGUAGAAAGCAUAUAAAACUGUUUAACUAGAGUGCAGGAGAGGUAAGUGGAAUUCCUAGUGUAGCGGUGAAAUGCGUAGAGAUUAGGAAGAACACCAGUGGCGAAGGCGACUUACUGGACUGUAACUGACGCUGAGGCAUGAGAGCAUGGGGAGCAAACAGGAUUAGAUACCCUGGUAGUCCAUGCUGUAAACGAUGGGUACUAGGUGUGGGUUGUGAAUAACAAUUCGUGCCGU
rnacentral:rRNA from 1 species